rnacentral:rRNA from 1 species
CAUUACCGAGUGAGGGUCUCCGGGCCCGACCUCCAACCCUUUUGUGAACCACCUCGUUGCUUCGGGGGCGACCCUGCCGUUCGCGGCGUGGGGCCCCCGGAGCCCUUCAAACCCUGCGUAACUAAGUCGUCGGAGUUUAAACAAAUUAAACAAAACUUUCAACAACGGAUCUCUUGGUUCGGGCAUCGAUGAAGAACGCAGCGAAAUGCGAUAAGUAAUGUGAAUUGCAGAAUUCAGUGAAUCAUCGAAUCUUUGAACGCACAUUGCGCCCCCUGGUAUUCCGGGGGGCAUGCCUGUCCGAGCGUCAUUACACCAAUCGAGCCUGGCUCGGUAUUGGGCGUCGCGGGUCUCGACCCGCGCGCCUUAAAGUCUCACCGGCUGAGCGGCGUCGUCUCUAAGCGUUGUGGAAACUAUUCGCGGAGGGACGGGGCGGCGUGGCCGUUAAAUACCCCAUCAAAGGUUGACCUCGGAUCAGGUAGGGAUACCC